rnacentral:rRNA from 1 species
UGAGUAAUGUCUGGGAAACUGCCUGAUGGAGGGGGAUAACUACUGGAAACGGUAGCUAAUACCGCAUAACGUCGCAAGACCAAAGAGGGGGACCUUCGGGCCUCUUGCCAUCAGAUGUGCCCAGAUGGGAUUAGCUAGUAGGUGGGGUAAUGGCUCACCUAGGCGACGAUCCCUAGCCGGUCUGAGAGGAUGACCAGCCACACUGGAACUGAGACACGGUCCAGACUCCUACGGGAGGCAGCAGUGGGGAAUAUUGCACAAUGGGCGCAAGCCUGAUGCAGCCAUGCCGCGUGUGUGAAGAAGGCCUUCGGGUUGUAAAGCACUUUCAGCGAGGAGGAAGGUGGUGAACUUAAUACGUUCAUCAAUUGACGUUACUCGCAGAAGAAGCACCGGCUAACUCCGUGCCAGCAGCCGCGGUAAUACGGAGGGUGCAAGCGUUAAUCGGAAUUACUGGGCGUAAAGCGCACGCAGGCGGUUUGUUAAGUCAGAUGUGAAAUCCCCGGG